AUUGAACGCUGGCGGCAGGCUUAACACAUGCAAGUCGAGUGAGCGGCGGACGGGUGUGUAAUGUCUGGGUAACUGCCUGAUGGAGGGGGAUAACUACUGGAAACGGUAGCUAAUACCGCAUACCAUCAGAUGUGCCCAGAUGGGAUUCGCUAGGAGGUGGGGUAAUGGCUCACCGAGGCGACGAUCACUAGCUGGUCUGAGAGGAUGACCAGCCACACUGAAACUGAGACGCGGUCCAGACUCAUACGGGAGGCCGCGGUGGGGAAUAUUGCACAGUGGGCGCAAGCCUGAUGCAGCCAUGCCGCGUGUGUGAAGAAGGCCUUCGGGUUGUAAAGCACUUUCAGCGAGGAGGCGUUACUCGCAGAAGAAGCACCGGCUAACUCCGUGCCAGCAGCCGCGGUAAUAC
rnacentral:rRNA from 1 species